UUUACAAAGUGCCUUUAAUGCAACAAGGUGUCCCAAGGUACUCUGCAGGAUUUGUGAGCAGGCAAAACCUGACAAAGAAGCACAUGUGGUGGAAAAAAGGCUUGACCAUAGUUUUCUGGGAUCGUCUGAAAGGAGGAAAGAGGUUUAGGGACGGUAUUCCAGAGGACCCAGGCCUCCAGCUACAGAGCAAGGCCAUUGUGAAUGCAAGUGGGUGACUCGGCUCCUGAAUGGUUUAAUGGACAAUGAGGCUCCACCUCCACCUCCCACCCAGUUACUGGAAAAAGACAUCUCCUGCCUACAACUGACUGGAAAAUCACCCCUCAGGUCAUGGAGACAGCUGUUUAUCUUCAGUCUCUUCUGGUUGUAUUUGCGUUGAUGUAAUAUAAUUACAUUUUAGUUCCGUUUAUUAUUGCCAUCUGUAUCAUGGUCAAUUAAAAAGUUUUUUGCG